rnacentral:rRNA from 1 species
AGCAGUCGGCAGCUUACCAUGCAGUCGUGGGGCAGCAGGGGGGAACUUCGGUUCCCCUGCUGGCGACCGGCGGACGGGUGCGUAACACGUAGCUACUUGCCUUGCAGUGGGGGAUAACCCGGGGAAACCCGGGCUAAUACCGCAUACACCCGAGAGGGGAAAGGCCCGUAAGGGUCGCUGCAAGAUAGGGCUGCGGCGUAUCAGCUAGUUGGUGGGGUAACGGCCUACCAAGGCUAUGACGCGUAGCUGGUCUGAGAGGAUGAUCAGCCACACUGGAACUGAGACACGGUCCAGACUCCUACGGGAGGCAGCAGUGGGGAAUCUUGGGCAAUGGGCGAAAGCCUGACCCAGCAACGCCGCGUGGAGGAAGAAGCCCUUCGGGGUGUAAACUCCUUUUGCAGGGGAAGAGAGUGACGGUACCCUGCGAAUAAGCUCCGGCUAACUCCGUGCCAGCAGCCGCGGUAAUACGGGGGGAGCGAGCGUUACUCGGAAUUACUGGGCGUAAAGGGUGCGUAGGCGGCUUAGUAAGUUAGGAGUGAAAGCCUACGGCUUAACCGUAGGAUUGCUCCUAAAACUGCUAAGCUAGAGUCCGGGAGAGGCUGCGGGAAUUCCUGGUGUAGGGGUGAAAUCCGUAGAGAUCAGGAGGAAUGCCGAAAGCGAAGGCGCGCAGCUGGAACGGUACUGACGCUGAGGCACGAAAGCGUGGGGAGCAAACAGGAUUAGAUACCCUGGUAGUCCACGCCCUAAACGAUGGCCACUAGUGGUUGGGGGGAUAGUCCCCCAGUCACGCAGCUAACGCGAUAGUGGGCCCGCCUGGGGAGUACGGCCGCAAGGCUAAACUCAAAGGAAUAGACGGGGACCCGAACAAGCGGUGGAGCAUGUGGUUUAUUCGAAGAAUACGCGAAGAACCUUACCUGGGGCUUGACCAUCCCGGGGGAAUCUUC